rnacentral:tRNA from 1 species
GCAGGUGUAACACAAUGGCAGUGUGCUUGCUUCCCAAGCAAGAUACGCGGGUUCGAUUCCCGUCACCUGCU